rnacentral:lncRNA from 1 species
GAUACCUUUUAAGCUAUGUAUUGAGAGAGAAGAAAGGUGCAUGGUGGUGGUGCCUGGUGGGGUGGGUGGUCUAGCUGUAAGAGGGAGCAAAACCGUCAGAAUGCUGCGUUGUAAUCAUAAUUAGAGACAACGCAAUUCACAAACAUCAAAACCAAAGUUAAAAAAAAAAAAAAAGUGUUUUGUCCAGUUUCUGCGAUUCACACGUGGCGUCACGUCAAUGGUUGUGGUUUUUUCGGCAAAUUUGUAGUAUUUGUUAAAACGCAAAUGUUUGUUUUGUUUUUGGAAUUUAGUUCAUGAAAAAAAA